CUGUAUGCCUCCUCUCUUGUCAGUGUGAAACUUCUUUGAAACAAACUUUAUUGUAUGAAUCGUCAUAUGAAUAAAGUGUAGAGUGACAGAUCGCUGUAGAGCCUCAAUUCA